rnacentral:rRNA from 1 species
AACGCUGGUCGGUAUGCUUAACACAUGCAAGUCGAACGGUAGAUACUUCGGUAUUGAGAGUGGCGGACGGGUGAGUAACGCGUAGGAAUCUGCCUAAUAGAUGGGGACAACUCAGGGAAACUUGAGCUAAUACCGAAUACGCCCUACGGGGGAAAGCGGGGGAUCUUCGGACCUCGCGCUAUUAGAUGAGCCUGCGUUGGAUUAGCUAGUAGGUAGGGUAAAGGCCUACCUAGGCGACGAUCCAUAGCUGUUCUGAGAGGAAGAUCAGCCACACUGGGACUGAGACACGGCCCAGACUCCUACGGGAGGCAGCAGUGGGGAAUAUUGGACAAUGGGCGCAAGCCUGAUCCAGCAAUACCGCGUGUGUGAAGAAGGCCUUCGGGUUGUAAAGCACUUUUAUGAGUGAAGAAGGCUUAAUAGUUAAUACCUAUUGAGAUUACGGUAACUCACGAAUAAGCACCGGCUAACUCCGUGCCAGCGGCCGCGGUAAUACGGAGGGUGCAAGCGUUAAUCGGAAUUACUGGGCGUAAAGGGUACGUAGGCGGUUAGAUAAGUUGGAUGUGAAAGCCCCGGGCUCAACCUGGGAACUGCAUUCAAGCAUGGCAAACUAGAGUACUGUAGAGGGUGGUGGAAUUUCCAGUGUAGCGGUGAAAUGCGUAGAGAUUGGAAGGAACAUCAGUGGCGAAGGCGGCCACCUGGACAGAUACUGACGCUGAGGAACGAAAGCGUGGGGCGCAAACAGGAUUAGAUACCCUGGUAGUCCACGCCGUAAACGAUGUCAACUAGCCGUUUUGUGGACUUGAUCCGUGAGUGGCGCAGCUAACGCACUAAGUUGACCGCCUGGGGAGUACGGCCGCAAGGUUAAAACUCAAAUGAAUUGACGGGGGCCCGCACAAGCGGUGGAGCAUGUGGUUUAAUUCGAUGCAACGCGAAGAACCUUACCAUCCCUUGACAUCCAGAGAAUUCGCUAGAGAUAGCUUAGUGCCUUCGGGACCUCUGUGACAGGUGCUGCAUGGCUGUCAUCAGCUCGUGUCGUGAGAUGUUGGGUUAAGUCCCGUAACGAGCGCAACCCUUAUCCUUUAGUUGCUACCAUUUAGUUGGGCACUUUAAGGAGACUGCCGGUGUUAAACCGGAGGAAGGUGGGGACGACGUCAAGUCAUCAUGGCCCUUAUGGGUAGGGCUACACACGUGCUACAAUGGCCGGUACAGAGGGCUGCAAACUUGCGAGAGUAAGCUAAUCCCUUAAAGCCGGUCCUAGUCCGGAUUGGAGUCUGCAACUCGACUCCAUGAAGCUGGAAUCGCUAGUAAUCGCGGAUCAGAAUGCCGCGGUGAAUUCGUUCCCGGGCCUUGUACACACCGCCCGUCACACCAUGGGAGUGGGUUGCAAAAGAAGUGGGUAGGCUAACCUUCGGGAGGCCGCUCACCACUUUGUGAUUCAUGACUGGGG